GACGAACGCUGGCGGCGUGCUUAACACAUGCAAGUCGAACGAUGAAGGGGAGCUUGCUCCUUGGAUUAGUGGCGAACGGGUGAGUAACACGUGAGUAACCUGCCCUGGACUCUGGGAUAACCCCGAGAAAUCGGAGCUAAUACCGGAUAGGACCUUGGAUCGCAUGAUCUGGGGUGGAAAGUUUUUCGGUCUGGGAUGGACUCGCGGCCUAUCAGCUUGUUGGUGGGGUGAUGGCCUACCAAGGCGACGACGGGUAGCCGGCCUGAGAGGGCGACCGUCCACACUGGGACUGAGACACGGCCCAGACUCCUACGGGAGGCAGCAGUGGGGAAUAUUGCGCAAUGGGCGGAAGCCUGACGCAGCGACGCCGCGUGGGGGAUGACGGCCUUCGGGUUGUAAACCUCUUUCGGCCCCGACGAAGCGUGAGUGACGGUAGGGGUAGAAGAAGCACCGGCCAACUACGUGCCAUCAGCCGCGGUAAUACGUAGGGUGCGAGCGUUGUCCGGAAUUAUUGGGCGUAAAGAGCUCGUAGGCGGUCUGUCGCGUCGAUCGUGAAAACUUGGGGCUUAACCCUGAGCUUGCGGUCGAUACGGGCAUGACUGGAGUUCGGCAGGGGAGAACGGAAUUCCUGGUGUAGCGGUGGAAUGCGUAGAUAUCAGAGGAACACCGGUGGCGAAAGGCGGUUCUCUGGGCAUUACCUGACGCUGAGGAGCGAAAGUGUGGGGAGCGAACAGGAUUAGAUACCCUGGUAGUCCACACCGUAACGUUGGGCGCUAGGUGUGGGACUCAUUCCACGAGUUCCGUGCCGCAGCUACGCAUUAGCGCCCGCCUGGGGAGUACGUCGCAGAUAN
rnacentral:rRNA from 1 species